CGAACGCCUCCGUGCACCCCUUCAAAGAUGAGCUGUUUGUAUGGGGAAACUGAACAAGCUGCCCUUUGUUUUCUGCCGAGCUCUACAUGAGGCAAACAACAAACACCAACCACAUCCACACAGCAAAGCUACAAACACAUCAACAUGUCAGUGCAUCCAUCGCCAAAAUCCUCGUACCAGGUGGAUAAAGGCUCUGGGCUGCCAGGGUGGGGCAGAGCUGGUGAGUUUUUCACUGCCAGAGUCCCCAAAUCAAUCCCUCAGUGCCUGCCAGGAGUUCCUUUGUGGCUGUGGACAGAGGGGAUUUGGAGUGUUAUCAGAAUUAUAGAUUCCUCAUUUAUUUAAGGAGUUGGCUGGACUCCUGCCUGGUGGCUCUUGUCAUAAACUCACUGGCCUCGUGAUGGAGGGAGACGGCCACAGUCCUGCAAGCUGCCAUAAGGCUCUUGCAGCUGUGCCUGAGUUUGAAAAACAAUGCUAAUAGUUCUGUAAAAUUUAAAAAAAACCGAUUAAACAAUUUAAAAAUAAUGAUAAUAUGUUAACGAAGGUAGCAGCAUUCUGCUAAUGUUUACAUCCUCUACGUAUAUAUAUAUAUAUAUAUUUACACUCUGAGGUCUGGUACAUCCAUUUUUGCCAAAACACUUUUUUUUUUUUUUUCCCUAGCAGAUUUUAAUGUCACAUUGUUAUAAAUUCAGUUUUGCAGCAAGCUAAAGUGAAGGGACAGUUAAACAGUUCCACAUUUAACUCAUUUCUUUGACAAAACUACUUUAACUGGAAUUAAAGUAGGUGUUUUCCUGAAGAGUUUACAGAUUGAUAUGGCAGGAACUCACUGGAAGGUUUUGGGAGAACAGCAGCUUGAUUGGAAACCAUUUAUAAAGCUGAAGGUCGGACUCUGCCAACAAGUGCUAAACAUUUGAAGUGUACCUGACAGGGGAACGAGCUGCUUCGCUGAUGUUACCACAAGGAAGUCCAAAAUAGCUGUUAGGAGACAAGAGGUUCGGAGCGCAGCUUUCAAACAGGGCACCGGGCAGAUCUUUCAGUUUCCAACCUGAAGAACAGGUUCUGCGGAUGCAAAAGGAACGAAACGUCUGCUCGGCAUUGUUACCACCCUCCGAUUCCCUUUGCCUCCUCCCACUUUGAACUUGUUACCCUGGAGCUGAACUGUUUGAACAGGGGCUGUAAAGCUGCUUUGUGAUCAGAGAGCUCCGAGCCCUCAACAUGUGAAAGCGGGGCGGGAUUUCGCUCCAGACGCCGCAGGUCCCUCCCUCCCUCCUCCCGGUUUUGUCCCGGGUAUGAAGGUUGGACGCUCCGCGCACAGAAGCCGGGACAGCCCGUCUGCACUGCCCGGCCGGGAGAGACAAAGGUGUGUGCGGCAUUGGUUUUCUACUUUCUGUUGCUGCGAUCAUUGUGGUGUGCUUUUAACACUUUUGCUCACACUUGGGUGUUAGAAACAAAGUUUAUAAUAUCCUACCCCACAGCCUUAUAGCUGUAACAGAAUCUGCUGCUACUGUUGCUCUUGUCUUUUUGAAGGAAGAGGGAAAAUGGAAAGAGUAUCAUGUCUAAUGCUUGUGUUUUAUUUUAUCAUGAUUUCUCUUGUUCAUGAAAAUGUUCAUGAACUAACAGAACCUUGGAAUUCUGUUAGUCCUAAAUUUUUAGAUUCUCAGAGCUUGUAGGGAUGAAGCAAACUACAUUUGUGAUUCAAGUUUAGACUUUUCUAACUGGACAACUGCUUUUUUUUAAUGAAAGACUACUGCAUUCAUUCUGAACUGAUAACCUGAGCCUUGAGCUUUCCCAGGUGUACGGAGCCAAAAUGAAAACUGACUUGGGUAAGAGAGGUUGGAUGUAAAAUAAACUUCGGGUAUUUAAAUAAAAUACCAGUUUAGCAAUAGAACAUGGCUGAUUCUAUGACUGAACAGCCAAGUCUUAACUUGGGAAGAAAGACAUGCACAACACUUUGAAAAGGUAUGCAUGUUUGGUUUUUUGGGUUUUUUUUUGGAAAAUUUUUGAAUUUUUUUAAAAAAAAUUCUCAUUCUUUUGGACUACAGAGAAAUAAUUUUCAGUUCUUUCCUGGCAUAAAAAUGUGGGGAAUGAUUGCAGAGAUGUGGCAAAUAAUAAGGAUGGCUGGAUUGCUGGGGCUGUGUAUGCUCCAAAUGCCUCAGGCUUCAGGGUUCAGAUGUAGGUCUUAAAUAUACCCUGAAUCCUCAGGUGAUAAUUUCUAGAAUCAUGUUCUGUUUCAUGGUAGAGGUAGGUUGCCUGUUAUAAAAUAAAACAGAAGUAGAGUAAGAGUCACUGCUGACUGUGAUUGGUUUGAGGUAGGAAAAUGAUGCCAUGUUCAGAAUGGUGCUCAAAGUUAACUUAUUAUUCCAAAGAAUGUGGUGAAAGUUUUGUCUACUGGGAGAGCUUUUUUUGUCCUUACUGAGGGUGCAAAAACUGUGCUGGGGAGAAUCCCUUUUUGCCCAGUGAGAUUAGUGUGAGAAAAUGUUCAGUGCAAGUGAGGGGAGGUCAGUGAGUGCCAAGGACACUGAGUUAUCUGAAUGUGGGCAAGGCUGAGUGGUGUCAGAGCUGCUGUGUUCUGGUGGCCUCAGGAGUGGUUGUGGGGACAGGGAGAAACGUUCACUUGGCUCUGAGCUCUUCAGCAGGAGCACUGCUUGUUACAGGCUCUCUGCUUCAGGCACUGAGGGUUUAUUACAGGGAGCAGAGGCCAUGACCAGAUACAGAAAUAUUUGUCAUGGCAGAGCUGUUAACUGUGGGCUUUUUUAUUCAAUAAGCAAUAUUUUACCAGAACUGCUUCUGUCAUACCCAGUUUUAUAAUAUAAACCUGUAUAACUGAAUCUUGAAACACUCAGGGCUCACUGAAUCUUAUAUUUAAUGACUCUGUUGGCAUGAUGAGCUCCUAUAAUGCAGCGUAUUUUGAUUAUUCUCAGCCAAGGAACAAGUUUAUUCUGGCUUUGCAAAAAAGGAUGAUAACAUUCCAGUUUAUAGCCAAGCUCCUUCUACAUUGUCUGAAAGGGCUUUUGUUUUCAUUCAUCAUUUCUGUAAUUUCUCUGAAUUAAAAGCUACUCCAUACUUAA